UACGAAGGGGGCUAGCGUUGCUCGGAAUUACUGGGCGUAAAGCGCACGUAGGCGGAUUGUUAAGUCGGGGGUGAAAUCCUGGAGCUCAACUCCAGAACUGCCUUCGAUACUGGCGAUCUCGGGUUCGGGAGAGGUGAGUGGAACUGCGAGUGUAGAGGUGAAAUUCGUAGAUAUUCGCAAGAACACCAGUGGCGAAGGCGGCUCACUGGCCCGAUACUGACGCUGAGGUGCGAAAGCGUGGGGAGCAAACAGG
rnacentral:rRNA from 1 species